rnacentral:rRNA from 1 species
UACGGAGGAUCCUAGCGUUAUCCGGAUUUACUGGGUUUAAAGGGUGCGUAGGCGGGCGUUUAAGUCCGCGGUGAAAGUCUGCGGCUCAACCGUAGGAUUGCCGUGGAUACUGGACGUCUUGGAUUCGGUCGGGGCGGGCGGAAUGCGUGGUGUAGCGGUGAAAUGCAUAGAUAUCACGCAGAACGCCGAUAGCGAAGGCAGCUCGCCGGGCCGAAAUCGACGCUGAGGCACGAAAGCGUGGGGAUCAAACAGGAUUAGAAACCCCCGUAGUCC